UAGCUCUGGUUUCUCUUCAUUCAUAAAUCUUUUGAUUUUUACUAAAGAGUUCUGUGGAGUGCAACAUCAAUGAGUUUGAUGUAUUUUUAUGAGCUUUGCACUGGCAAAGU